rnacentral:rRNA from 1 species
GUCUUGUACUCACCGCCCGUCACACCAUGGGAGUUGUGUUUGCCUUAAGUCAGGAUGCUAAAUUGGCUACUGCCCACGGCACACACAGCGACUGGGGUGAAGUCGUAACAAGGUAACCGUAGGUGAACCUGCGGUUGGAUCACCUCCUUUCUAGA